rnacentral:pre_miRNA from 1 species
CAAGUACUCCCUCCGUCCGGAAUUACUUGUCAUCAAAAUGGAUGUNGAUGUGUCUAGAACUAAAAUACAUCUAGAUACAUCCAUUUCAAUGACAAGUAUUUUCGGACGGAGGGAGUACAAG